rnacentral:lncRNA from 12 species
UAAAUAUUGAGUGUUGGCCUUCCAACUGUUAAAAACCUUCUCCUAGGAGGUGCAACUGCAUGUCCUGAUACCUCUAUAUCUUUGUAAAAUCCAGCUGUCUUCUGAGGUUACCUGAAAAUAAUGUAUCAGUCAUAAUGCCUUUGACCACAAGAGUCAGAUGGACCUGGAUUUAUAUCUUCCAAUGUGAGCCCUGACCAGGCUGAGAACACAGCUGCUGGCACUCCAGCCUCCUUUGGGAAGAAUCAGCCUUAUGGUGUUUUGAACAUCUUGGCUCAGCGUCCUUUUCUGUCAUUCUGUUAAUAAAGAAGAUUGUGGGGAGGCUUGCUGAAUCCUUUUUCCUCCAUAAACAGAGACAUCAGAUUCCAGAGCUUGAUUUGGCAUUUUUCUCA